rnacentral:rRNA from 1 species
UACGUAGGGGGCAAGCGUUGUCCGGAAUCAUUGGGCGUAAAGAGCGCGUAGGCGGCCCUGUAAGUCCGCUGUGAAAGUCAAGGGCUCAACCCUUGGAUGCCGGUGGAUACUGCAGGGCUAGAGUCCGGAAGAGGCGAGUGGAAUUCCUGGUGUAGCGGUGAAAUGCGCAGAUAUCUGGAAGGAAUACCGGUGGCGAAGGCGGCAUCCUGGACCGACAUUGACGCUGAGGAGCGAAAGCUAGGGGAGCAAC